UCUUCUUCAAAUAAUUUUCCAGUGACUAUCCCCUGGACCAUUUUGUGUGUGUGUAUAUAUAUUCCAAUUUAAAAUUUUAAAAAAUGAUUUCCCAUCAAAUUCACAUAAAAUCUUUAGCGAAAGAUAGUCAACUAGCUAUGCAACUUAUCAAUCAUUCAAAAUUUGGGAGAUUCCAACGUCAAUUCAUAAAACCUAUAUAAAUAAAAUCGGCCAUCAUUAAAAUUGUAGUAUAUAAUCUAUACAAAUCAAAUAUUAUACGAAUUCAAAUUCAUAAAUCUAUUCAAUUAAAAAAUGUUUAUUCCAGAAACGACGAUUAAGCAGCCGUAAACAAAUUAAAAUUAGAUCUAACCUCGUUUACGCUCGCAUCUCCCGCCAGUAGGCUGCAGCGCGGCGUCAUCUGCUGAAGCAUAACAGGUGGUGGAGCCACCAUCCUCCGCCGUCGCGUUCAAGUUCUCAUUGCUUUUAUUGAUGUUAUGAUAGCUAUUACUAACAAUUGGUGGCGGUACCUGCUCACAUAGUGAAUUUGAGUUUUUAAGGAUAAAGGAUUCAAUAGAAUGAUGGAGCAGAUAGUGGAGUGGGUUUAUAUCGUGAUGAAAAUGCUUUGUGAAAUGUGAGGGCCG
rnacentral:lncRNA from 1 species